CUAAUUUUCACAUUUGAAUCAUGAAUCAAAGUACAAUACACUGCAGUGGACCCCUACACAAUCGCACUUUGACACUCAAUGAUUCACCUGUCUACUUUUUCAUUUUUAUUUUUUAUUUUUUGGGGUCAAAGGGGGCGGCAUGGUGGCUCAUCUGGUAAAGCGUUGACCUCACAGUACUCAGGUCCCCGGGUUAGAUCCCGAUCCCUGCCUGUGUGGACUUCGCUUGUCCUCCCCGUGCCUGUGUGGGUUUAAGCCGGGCACUCCGGUUUCCUCCCACAUCCCAAAAACAUGCAAAAAAAACUCCAGCACUCCCCGCAACCCUUGUGAGCAUUAGCGGUCAAUAUAAUGGAUGGAUGAGUACAAGUGAGCUUCCAACAGACAGCCACAAGGUGGCAGCAUUGAACAUCAGCCGGCGGUCCAUCACAGAGACCGUUCAGACCUGAAAUAUGGCUCCUUAUCUGGAUCUGAACCAUAAUCAUUCGAAACGGUUCUCCCCUGGCGCCACCCGUGACAGGAUUCUUGGAAAUCAGGUUCCCGACCCCUGGUGUGAAGACAAGAAAGUUUCCAUAUUUACCUUAUGACACGGACCAGCUCGUGGAAGGCCUUGUCUACAUUCAUUGGGGGGUCCUUGGCACUGGUUUCAAUGUGCUGCUUACGUUAUGUUUUGCCGCCAUCUCUUGGCCCUGCUCAGUGGUGAUCUUCCUCAAAUGGACCAAGUCCACCUUGUUUGCCACCAGCACCAUCGGAAAGGCUUCCCUGAGACGACAAACGAAAGCAGCUC